CCUACGGGAGGCAGCAGUGGGGAAUAUUGGGCAAUGGGCGCAAGCCUGACCCAGCAACGCCGCGUGAAGGAAGAAGGUUUUCGGGUUGUAAACUUCUUUUCUCAGGGACGAAGCAAGUGACGGUACCUGAUGAAUAAGCCACGUCUAACUACGUGCCAGCAGCCGCGGUAAUACGUAGGUGGCAAGCGUUAUCCGGAUUUACUGGGUGUAAAGGGCGUGUAGGCGGGACUGCUAGUCAGAUGUGAAAAUCACGGGCUCAACCUGUGGCCUGCAUUUGAAACUGGAGUUCUUGAGUACUGGAGAGGCAGGCGGAAUUCGUAGUGUAGCGGUGAAAUGCGUAGAUAUUGGGAAGAACACCGAUGGCGAAGGCAGUCUGCUGGACGGCAACUGACGCUGAGGCGCGAAAGCGUGGGGAGCGAACAGGAUUAGAUACCCCAGUAGUC
rnacentral:rRNA from 1 species